CCUGGAAUGACAGGAGGUCUGCUGCAUAUUCUCAGCUGAUUCCUGGGCGGUGGUAUCUUUUGAGGACCCAACCUGGGAGUAUUACAGCUGUAGCCUGUGGGAAUGUUGGCAUACAUAGCCAGCUAUGAAGUUGGUGGCUCCCUAUGAGUUCUGUUCAUGAGACUUGAGACACAGGGGUUGUGAACAUUUAGUCUAUAAGGUCCUGGGACCUGGGUUCUUCCUUUCAUGAAGAAUUGGCCCAUUCCAGUACAGUGAGCCCUACUUAAAAGAGCUGUGAGCAAGAGGAAGG